ensembl:misc_RNA predicted gene, 27715
UUAAGACUUAAAAAUCUUUCAAUCUUAGAAAAUUCUUUCAAAGUAUUUGUUUCUGUGUUUUUAACCUAUAAAAGAUAAUAUUUUAUAGGCAGGAUUUCAACUCAUCCCAUUCACUCCUGGCUACACUCUGUCAUUUUUCUGUCAACAUUGAAUUUGAUUAUAUGUGAAUGAAUUAUUCCUCAGAAAACUAGCUUGCUAAAUCUAAACAUCAGGUUGUGAUUUUUCUUUGAUAAGUAGCAUAAUUACAGAACUGCAUGU